rnacentral:rRNA from 1 species
GUUAAAAAGCUCGUAGUUGGAGUUCUGCCAGGUGCCGCCUGUCCGCCCCAGUGGUGAGUACGUGGCGCGCAUUUGGCCCUUUCAAGGGGAGCGUAUCUGCACUUAACUGUGUGGUGCGGGAUCCUUGACUUUUACUUUGAGGAAAUAAGAGUGUUCCAAGCAGGCUCUCGUCGUGCAUAGCUCAGCAUGGAAUAAUAGCAUUGGACCUCGAUUCUAAGCUGUUGGUUGCCAGAAACGAGGUAAUGAUGAAGAGGGAUAGUUGGGGGCAUUCGUAUUUAACUGUCAGAGGUGAAAUUCUUGGAUUUGUUAAAGACGAACUACUGCGAAAGCAUCUGCCAUGGAUGUUUUCAUUGAUCAAGAACGAAAGUUAGGGGAUCGAAGACGAUCAGAUACCGUCCUAGUCUUAACUAUAAACCAUGCCGGCUAGAGAUCGGAGGUUGUUCGUUUUGUGACGCCUUCAGCAUCUUGAGAGAAAUCAAAGCCUUUGGGUUCCGGGGGGAGUAUGGUCGCAAGGCUGAAACUUAAAGGAAUUGACGGAAGGGCACCACCAGGAGUGGAGCCUGCGGCUUAAUUUGACUCAACACGGGGAAACUCACCAGGUCCAGACUGAGUAAGGAUGUACAGAUUGACAGCUCUUUACAGAUUCUCAGGGUGGUGGUGCAUGGCCGUUCUUAGUUGGUGGAGUGAUUUGUCUGGUUAAUUCCGUUAA